rfam:Gossypium hirsutum cultivar TM-1 chromosome 22, whole genome shotgun sequence
AACCCAUGGUGAGGGCACCACCUCAAUAAGCCCUUAUACCUGUCCCAUACAUCAUAUAGAGUCUCUAAAUUGAUCUAAAAAAAAGAAGAGAUAUCAUUCCUCAACUU